CUACGCUACUUUCAGUCUUUCACGACAUAUUUUCUAGUAUUGAUCUCGUCUCGUUCAACAGAUGGUUUCUUUUCAUCAAUCUCUUUAAGGGCUAAUUAGAAGUCCAAUAAACUCCCAACACGGAGAGCACCUAUCUCGCUACUGCCGAUUUCACUCAACGAGAACUUCCUUUUCCUAUGGAAAUCGGCGUUCUAUCCACAAACCAGAUAGAGAUGUCUACGGAGGUUAAUAAGGAGGCUAUUGAGGAGUCAUGUGAUGUUAGUUCGUCAAUCGCAGCAAAACGAGCUAAAAAAAUACUUCCGUUGUUUGGAAUACUUUUCAAAAAUUGCUUCGUGCUAGUAUUGGUGAAAGGGGCAAAGCGCAAUGUAAGGUAUGUAAAAUGAUCUAUGUAGCAGAUUCUAAGUCUGUAACUUCAAAUUUGAAGCGACAUAUUGAUGCACACAUAAAUAAUACGCAAGAGCGUAGGUGUGA